rnacentral:rRNA from 1 species
CAGCCCCUCGAGUGGUGGGGAUGAUUAUUUGGCCUAAAGCGUCCGUAGCCGGCCGUGUAAGUCCCCCGUUAAAUCCAGCGUCUCAAGCGUUGGACUGCGGGAGAUACUGCUCGGCUAGAGAGUGGGAGAGGUGUGCGGUAUUCUGGGGGUAGGGGCGAAAUCCUUUGAUCCCCGGAGGACCACCAGUGGCGAAGGCUGCACACUAGAACACGUCUGACGGUCAGGGACGAAAGCUGGGGUAGCGAACCGGAUUAGAUACCCGAGUAGUCC